UGAUUCAGCAACUUUAUUUUUUAGAUCGGAAGAAAGAACAAACAACUAUUUUCAAGAUAACUUUGGAUCAUUAAAACAAAUAUGGCCAAACAUGUGUAGCCAUCCUGAAGCUCUUUACAACAGAGAAUAAGGAAAUAUAAACAGCUUUUUAGGCAUGUUUUGAAUUCUUGGACUUCCUAGCAAAAUUCUGCACUGCAUAUCUAUGGCAGUAAGAGCACUGCAGUUAGCACAGAAGAUGCUGUUAAUGUGAAGGUUGCUGUUAAACUAAGUACAGAGCAACUAAUCUUUAGCUGAGAAAGAAGACUGCCAACAGGAAAAUCAGGGUACUGGAGAUAGAAAGGACAUUAUAGCAGUUCUGGGAGAGAAGAGGUUGUUCAUGUUCUCCACUGACAAACAGAAAUAAGAAGCAGAAAUGCGGAGGUAGGAGCUACUCUCACUAUCUCCCAGUGCUCCCUUCCUCAGGACUCUCAGCCCCUAAAGUCACUUCCCAAUCUGUGCAUGAGACACUGAAAUGGCAAUGGUUAAUGAC